CAGUGUACCCGCGGCAAGACGGAAAGACCCCGUGAACCUUUACUAUAGCUUGACACUGAACAUUGAGCCUUGAUGUGUAGGAUAGGUGGGAGGCUUUGAAGUGUGGACGCCAGUCUGCAUGGAGCCGACCUUGAAAUACCACCCUUUAAUGUUUGAUGUUCUAACGUUGACCCGUGAUCCGGGUUGCGGACAGUGUCUGGUGGGUAGUUUGACUGGGGCGGUCUCCUCCUAAAGAGUAACGGAGGAGCACGAAGGUUGGCUAAUCCUGGUCG
rnacentral:rRNA from 1 species